CUAACUCAAAUUUGUAUGAAUUCGGAACGUUUGCCUACGUUUGCCGCUAGGGGCUCUGUUCUAACUGCAUAGAAAUUUUUGUUA
rnacentral:pre_miRNA from 1 species